UCAGGAGCCGCGGCGGGCCGGGAGCGCUGCGGGGCCGGGGUAGAUCAUUCUAGGGCCGGGAUAGAUCGUUCCGGGGCCGGGAGCGCUCCGGGGCCGGGGUAGAUCGGUCUGGGGCCGGGAUAGAUCAUUCUAGGGCCGGGAUAGAUCGUUCUGGGGCCGGGAGCGCUGCGGGGCCGGGGUAGAUCGUUCUGGGGCCGGGAUAGAUCGUUCCGGGGCCGGGGUAGAUCGGUCUGGGGCCGGGAUAGAUCGUUCCGGGGCCGGGGUAGAUCGUUCUGGGGCCGGGAGAGCUCCGGGACCGGGGUAGAUAGUUCUGGGGCCGGGAUAGAUCGGUCUGGGGCCGGGAGCGCUCCGGGGCCGGUGCGGGGCGGGCCCGGCCCGGAUCGUUCCCGCGGCCGAGGUCCGGGCAGGGUCCGGACCUGCCGCCUUCCUGCCCUACAGGGGUAGCCAGCGGUGGCUGCAGCAGCGCAGGAAAGUACUUCAAGCCUCCUUCCAGCUUGAAGCCUGAGCUUCCUCUUCAUCUGGCAGCCACCCCAGUCAGCCUCCUCCCUUCUCAGCACCCUGGGCUCAUCCUGCAGAGCCGCUGCUGCUCCCAGAGCUCACCUGGCUGCGAGCAGCACGCUGUGCACCAGCCAAGGCUGCACAAACCUGCAGGCACGGGGGAGUUCAGUGCUGGGCUGGCCAGGCUGGCUGAAGUCAAACCUGCCCGUUGCUGCAGACACGUGCCUGCAGCAGGCGGUUGGUAUAUGAGAGUGUAAAUGAGUAACUUGGAGAAACCACAGUCAUGAGCAGGAUUGUCCUUCAUAAAUCACUGAUUUCUUUUUUAGCUCCAGAACAGAAUUCAUUCCCCAAGUUCAAGUAAGUUCUGCAUUUUUACUUCAUUAUUUUCCUUAGUAAAAUAUUUCAACAUCAGCUGGGUAGGAAUUUUGAAGCUAUUUCCUUAGACCGAAUUGCCUGCUCCAACAGUGCAAUUUUCCCCCUAAAUACAGUUUUUCCAACUGCAUCUGUAACUAAAAUAAAACUCUCCUUUCAUUCCUUCCCUGUGGCUGCAGUGUAUUCGUGAUCUCAAGUAGCAGGGAGGCUCCACUGUUCAAAAAAGGAACUUCAGGGAUGUUUUUGACAGCAGUGAUUGAGCAGGUGCUGCUCAGGAGCUGGCUCCUGCCUGGAUCCCACUCCAGCUCCAACUCAGAACUAAGGAACAUUUCCUCUGAAGUAAAGAAAAUGAAGUUUAACAGUUCACACACUGCUGCUCUUCCACUCGUGCAGCCCCAGCUGGCACCAAGAGCACAACAGGAAUCACCUGUCCAGGUGUCUGCAGGUCUGUUCAGCGUGCAGGAACAAUGAGAUGUCUCAGAAGAAGUCAAUGCAGUCACACUUUAAUGUGUCUUUACAUCCUUUUACGAUUCACAAAGUCAGAAUAUAAGUACUUAUACACUUUUAAUGGGGAAGUAAUGUAUCCCCCUAAAAGAAAAAUAGAUGUGAUUAAUCAUUUGUCAGAGAAGUUGCCUGACAGCUGAAACCUCAAGCUUCUAGGCAAAAAAAGCUCAAAUAGACAAAUUAUACUGAAUUGUUCUUUAAAGACCAAGCAGCUGUUUUAUUACAAUAUUAAAUUUACAUUUUAAAAAGAAAUAUUCUGAUUUAUUAUUCAGUUAUGAUAAUCUUAUUGAAGUGACAUGAAAAUCAUGACAAUGGGCUUUCUUCUUCCUCAGUCACCACAGGCAAUCUCAGCUCUAUGCAGGAUCCCACACCCAGAGCAGCACCAGUCUGGGAAGACAAACCCCAGACACUGGAUUUUAACUGGAAUCUUAAUUUUCCCCAGAAAAAGUGGUGUGUUGGGCUCUGUAACUCAGCUGGAUCCCUUGGUUCAGCCCCAAAGAACCCACCCAAACUUGUUCCAACAGAGAGAGGACAUCAGCCACCACCAAUACUUCACCCUGCAGCCCCCGGAAUGACCUUCGAACAACUGGGAGCAGGUUCAAUUUACAUUUUACUUCAAAAAAAAAGGGGGAAGUACAUACAUGAGGGGAGAACGGGGUGAACAAUAAUUAUCUGAAACCAGGUUUCCACCACUCUGACCCACAGCUCCCAGCGGCCUGUGGCUGGGGCCAGCGGCUCUCCAGGCUCACACCCGUGUUUGACAGCACGACCAGGACCGGGAUCACAGAAACCCUGGGGCAGCCGAGGCCGGAUGGAAGCAGUGAGAUCAUACACAGGGUGAGCGUGUCGGACACAGCUUCUGCUUUAAAUGAUGGAAUGCACCAGCAGGAGGGAGGGGUAGUUAACAGUUACUAACACUAGAAUAAUCAAAUUUGUAUGUUAUACAUAUACAGCAACUAACUGCUUUACAAAAAAAGCAAAAUAAUACAAUAUAUUGUCACAUGUAUUUACAGUGUAGUAAAUAUACUUUUCUGUCAAAUUUUACACAAAAACUAUUUACAGGUGAAUAUACUGCAUAAAAAAAAAAGGUGGGACCAACACUCUGAGUGACUGUCUGUGGUUUGUUGCAUAACAAUAGGACGUGCUUUGUGACUUCGGAAAAAAUUAACCUUAGAAUGAAACAGAAAAAGCCCUAAAACCUACAACCCGGGCCAGAGCCAGCCCCGGCACGCACCGGGGGCUCAGCCCACGAGACUCAGUGAAAUGUUCCCUGUCCUGGGAAACCUCAUGCAUGGUAAAGCAGAAACAUCGGCAUCAUUACAGGUAGGUUAUGCACUAUUCAAAUACUACUGAGUUAUCUUUAAGUCAGGGAAAGUACAAACACAAACAGAAUGUUAAUUGUCUUUACAG